rnacentral:rRNA from 1 species
AGCGAACGCUGGCGGCAGGCCUAACACAUGCAAGUCGAACGAACCUUUCGGGGUUAGUGGCGGACGGGUGAGUAACACGUGGGAACGUGCCUUUAGGUUCGGAAUAACUCAGGGAAACUUGUGCUAAUACCGAAUGUGCCCUUCGGGGGAAAGAUUAAUCGCCUUUAGAGCGGCCCGCGUCUGAUUAGCUAGUUGGUUGAGGUAAUGGCUCACCAAGGCUACGAUCAGUAGCUGGUCUGAGAGGAUGAUCAGCCACAUUGGGACUGAGACACGGCCCAAACUCCUACGGGAGGCAGCAGUGGGGAAUCUUGCGCAAUGGGCGAAAGACUGACGCAGCCAUGCCGCGUGAAUGAUGAAGGUCUUAGGAUUGUAAAAUUCUUUCACCGGGGACGAUAAUGACGGUACCCGGAGAAGAAGCCCCGGCUAACUUCGUG